AGUAACGCGUGGAUAACCUGCCUCACACUGGGGGAUAACAGUUAGAAAUGACUGCUAAUACCGCAUAAGCGCACAGUACCGCAUGGUGCAGUGUGAAAAACUCCGGUGGUGUGAGAUGGAUCCGCGUCUGAUUAGCCAGUUGGCGGGGUAACGGCCCACCAAAGCGACGAUCAGUAGCCGACCUGAGAGGGUGACCGGCCACAUUGGGACUGAGACACGGCCCAA
rnacentral:rRNA from 1 species